AUGAAUACAAGCAUCUGUGGUGGCGGUGGCUGCGGCGGCAGAGGGAGCAGCAGCAGCAGCAGGGACUCCACGCCCAACUGCUGAUCUAGGCCCAGUGUGAGAACCUCAGCAUGGCUUUUAGGCCGCAAUGCAACAUCAACGCUAUGUCCUUUGUCCCCCACGUUUUUCCUGCGGGGGGUGGGGGUUACGGGAGAGGUCAGGCCCAGCCGCUGCUGUCCCCAGCUGGCGCGGCUGGUGGUGACCACAGAGCAGGCAGCAGCAUGGGAGGCCCUUCGGAACCUGUGGCGUCCUCUCAAGAACAGUCCUUGUGUGAAGGUUCUAAUUCUACUGUUAGCAUGGGACUUUCAGAACCUGUUGUAGGAAAUGGAGACUGAAAGGUCCCCAGAAGAAUCAUGGAUGCACAAAGAAGAAAUAAGUGAAGCGAAGCCAGGGGGGUGAUUCCUCAGGAAAUGGAAGGCCUCCAGAGGAAAGCACCCAAGAAAUGAUGGAGGAAGAAGAAAUAGCAAACCUAAGUCAGUGGUGGCACCACCAGCAGCCCCUACGGAAGAACAUAUAAACUCAUCGUGCAUGUUGAUGCAGGCACGGCAACCAUUGGAGGACAAAUAAUCUAUCUGACUGGAAUGGUCGACAAAAGGACACUUGAGAAAUAUGAACGAGAAGCUACAGAAAAAGACAGAAAAACUUGGUACUUGUCUUAGACACCAAUCAGGAAGAAGGAGACAAGGGCAAAGCAGGAGAGGUGGGCCGUGCCUGUUUUGAAACGGAAAAGAAGCAUUCCACAAUUCUACAUGCUUCUGGCCAUAAGAGUUUUGUCCCAAAUAUGAUUGGUGGCGCCUCUCAAACUGAAGUGGCUGUGCUGGUAAUCUCAGCCAGGAAAGGAGAGUUUGAAACUGGAUUUGAACAAGGAGGACAGACAAGAGAACAUGCAGUGUUGGCAAAGACAGCAGGUGUCAAACACUUAAUUGUGCUUAUUAAUAAGAUGCAUGAUCCAAUGAUAAACUGGAGCAAUAAGAGAUAUGAAGAAUGUAAAAAGAAACUAGUACCGUUUUUGAAACAAGUUGGCUUCAAUCCCAAAAAAGACAUUCACUUUAUGCCCUGCUCAGGACUGACGGGAGCAAUUCUUAAAGAGCAAUCAGAUUUCUGUCCUUGGUACAUUUGCUUACCAUUUAUUCCAUACCUGGAUCAUUUGCCAAACUUCAAUAGAUCAGUUGAUGGACCAAUCAGGCUGCCAGUUGUCGAUAAGUACAAGGAUAUGGGGACUGUGGUCCUGGGAAAGCUGGAACCUGGACCUGUUUGUAAAGGCCAGCAGCUUAUGGUGACACCAGAUAAGCACAGUGUGGAAGUUCUUGGAGUACUUUCUGAUGAUGUAGAAACGGGGCUCUGUAGCUCCAGGUGAAAACUCACAACCAGACUGAAAGGAACCAGGAGUCAUUCUUUGUGAUCUUAAUAAUCUUUGUUAUUUUGGAUACACAUUUGAUGCCCAGAUAGUGAUUAGAGAGCACAGGUCCAUCUUCUGCCCAGGGUAUAGUGCAGUGCUGCAUAGUCAUACCUGUAUGGAGGAAGUGGCAGUAACAGCCUUAAUCUGCUUGGUAGACAAAAAACCAGGAGAAAAAGGUAAGACUCAACCUGUUUUGUAAAACAAGAUCAAGUAUGCAUUGCUCGGUUUAAGGACAGCAGGAACCAUCUGCCUGGAGACCUUUAAGGACUUCCCUUAGAGAUGAGAGUAAGACCACUGCAGUUGGAAACAUUCUGAAACUGGUUCCAGAGAAAGACUAAGCGUUUCCUUGAUGACCUUGCACAAUUUUCCUGUGAGGAAAAUUGACUGCAAACGCCUACUUCACACCGCCUUCUCUUACUUCCUGCCCAUUGACAAACCUCUCCCCAUACUUUGCAAAGACAAUUCACUGUAAAAGUCCACAUUAUGUCCUCUUUCUCAUAUUGAGAGCUCUGCUAUGCCACUCUUGAAUUUUCCCAAGA